UACGAAGGGGGCUAGCGUUGCUCGGAAUUACUGGGCGUAAAGCGCACGUAGGCGGUUUCUUAAGUCGGGGGUGAAAUCCUGGAGCUCAACUCCCAGCAACUGCCUUCGAUACUGGGAAACUUGGAGUCCGGGAGAGGUGAGUGGAACGUGCGAGUGUAGAGGUGAAAUUCGUAGAUAUUCGCAAGAACACCAGUGGCGAAGGCGGCUCACUGGCCCGGUACUGACGCUGAGGUGCGAAAGCGGUGGGGAGCAAACAGGG
rnacentral:rRNA from 1 species